CUGCUGCCUUCCGUAGGAGUCUGGGCCGUGUCUCAGUCCCAAUGUGGCCGUCCACUCUCUCAAGCCGGCUACUGAUCGUCGCCUUGGUGAGCCGUUACCUCACCAACCAGCUAAUCAGACGCGGGUCCAUCCCAUAGCGAUUAAAUCUUUGAAGAAAAGAACAUGCGCUCUCUCCUUGUUAUGCGGUAUUAGCAGCCGUUUCCAGCUGUUCGUCCCCCUNUAUGGGGCAGGUUGCCCACGCGUUACU
rnacentral:rRNA from 1 species